GCCUUCGUGGUGAAGUGGUCAGCACGCACAGUCAGUAUUUGAGAGAUCCGUGGUUCGAGUCCCGGCGAGGGCA
rnacentral:tRNA from 1 species